rnacentral:rRNA from 1 species
CCUACGGGAGGCAGCAGUGAGGAAUAUUGGUCAAUGGGCGGGAGCCUGAACCAGCCAAGCCGCGUGAGGGAAGAAUGUACAACGUAUCGUAAACCUCUUUUGUCAGGGAACAAAGGCGGGGACUAGUCCCCUGAUGAGGGUACCUUAAGAAAAAGCAUCGGCUAACUCCGUGCCAGCAGCCGCGGUAAUACGGAGGAUGCGAGCGUUAUCCGGAUUUAUUGGGUUUAAAGGGUUCGAAGAGGGCUUGUUAAGUCAGCGGUAAAAGCCCGGGGCUCAACCCCGGCGAGCCGUUGAAACUGGCGGGUUGGAGUUGGAGAGAAGUACGCGGAAUGCGGGGUGUAGCGGUGAAAUGCUUAGAUAUCGCGAAGAACCCCGAUGGCGAAGGCAGCGUA